GGCACCCCCAAACUCGGCCCUCCAGAUGUUUUGGGACUACAAUUCCCAUCAUCCCUGACCACUGGUCUUGUUAGCUCGGGAUGAUGGGAGUUGUAGUCCCAAAACAUCUGGAGGGCUGAGUUUGGGGGUGCC